rnacentral:rRNA from 1 species
AUGACUACCUGCUUCUCUCACAUUAUUAAAGAUCAUUCCCUGGAUUUUGUGGGCAUUCAAGAGACUAAGAAAAAGAACUUUGACCCCAAGUAUUUGAGAAGAGUUGAUCCCUCUGAUAGAUUCAGUUGGAACUGGAUUCCUUCUGUUGGUAAAUCGGGUGGGGUUCUGUGUGGAGUUAAAAAGGAAACCUCGGAAAUUGUCUCCUGGACUGCAGGUAAAUACCUACUGCAGGCUACUGUUUUUGAUGUGAAACUAAAAAGUGUUUGGACUCUGGUGGUAGUAUAUGGGGCAGCUCACGAUGACAAAAGAGAUGAUUUCCUCGCAGAAUUGGCCUCAACGUGUAGUAAUAUUAGUACUCCUUAUGUGAUUGGUGGAGACUUCAAUAUCCUUCGAGAGAGUUGUGAUAAAAAUAAAGACCUGCAUCGCUCCCUAUAUAUGGAUAGGUUUAACAGUAUCAUUCAGAACCUGAGCCUUAGGGAGAUUCAUAUGGGAGGCAAAUAUACAUGGACCAAUAAGCAAAGGCACCCUACUCUAGAGAAGUUGGAUAUAAUUCUCAUGAGCCCUAUGUGGGAAGACAUGUUCCCUCUAGUUACCAUUCGCAAACUGGUGCGAGAUGUCUCGGACCACAAUCCCCUUCUACUCUCUUCUGACUCUUUAAAGAAAAAAACUCCCACCAGUGUGAAUUCAGAUUUGACCUAA